rnacentral:sRNA from 1 species
CACAAGAUAAUACAACAGAUUGGGGAUAGAAAGACUAAAGCGCAAGCAAGCAAUACAAACGUACGUGGACCUGGAAGAACAUCUGUGGGGAGAAUAUAAAACUGUGGGAUUAGCAAGGUACAUGUUCAAGAAAGGAAUGAAGGAUGAUCGCUUAUAUAUGCAGGUUCAUCCAUUUACAAGGGCAAAUUCUAUCUACUAAAUGAGUGCUUCGUGUUCGUGUUCAUGUUCGUGUUAGGGAACAAAACACGCAGAUAAGUAACUGUGCUUAGAACUAAUAUUUAUGCUUUUUUUUCUUUCUGGAAGGUGGAUGAAGGAUUGUAGAUGCUGGUAUAACAAUAAGUGACUUCAGCGAAAACAACCGAUGCAUGCCCUCAUACUUUGUAGGGGGAUUUGAUAUUCUGUUCAUGCUGACUCGCACUUGUGGACUAAUUUUCAUGGAAUAUACAUAAUGCAGGCUUUGUGGAACAAAGUGAAGAUCCUUCAUGAUAUAUAAUUUGUGCCGCUCCAAUUCACAAUCAAAGAAUGUGACCGACGCGAACAUGAAUCUGAACAGAAAGAUAGAACGAACAGUGGCGAAUGAGCAUAUUCAGCUGCUUAGAAGAUUCACAGAGAGCGCUGGACCAAUCUACUUCUCACAUGGCAGAAUAUAAAUAAGGCUUUCUACUGCUGUGGACAUAGAUGCUUCGCUUGUCAACUUUAAUGCAUGAUCUGAUCCACACCUUACUUAGAUGGCCUCAAGCUGCAGGGUCAGCUUAAGCACUUGGUGAUAAAGUGGCUUUUGUUCUCUCUUCUGGGUGGAUUCUACUUUAGUAUUACUUUACUUCUUAAAAGCUGUAUUGAAUCUGCUCGUGUCGAUUGGAACAUUCACUGAUAUGUAUAAUACAAGUGUUGAGAAGAUAUUACUUUUUUAAAGAACAAAGUUCGGCUCUCCUUAACUGC